GACGAACGCUGGCGGCGCGCUUAAUACAUGCAAGUCGAGCGAGAACCGGAGCUUCGGCUCCGGGGACAGCGGCGAACGGGUGAGUAACACGUGGGUAACCUGCCCUCGGCACCGGGAUAGCCCGGGGAAACCCGGAUUAAUACCGGAUGGCCCUUUCGGUCUUCGGACCGGUCGGCAAAGGUAGCUUCGGCCUCCGGCCGAGGAUGGGCCCGCGGCGGAUUAGCCUGUUGGUGAGGUAACGGCUCACCAAGGCUCCGAUCCGUAACUGGUCUGAGAGGACGAGCAGCCACACUGGGACUGAGGCGCGGCCCAGCCUCCUACGGGAGGCAGCAGUAGGGAAUCUUGCGCAAGGGGCGAAAGCCUGACGCAGCGACGCCGCGUGCGGUAAGACGGCCUUCGGGUUGUAAACCGCUUUCAGGAGGGACGAAGCCACUCGGGUGAAUAGCCCAGAGGGUGACGGUACCUCCAGAAGAAGCCCCGGCUAACUACGUGCCAGCAGCCGCGGUAAGAC
rnacentral:rRNA from 1 species